AAUUAGUUUAAGAUUAAGAUUUGACUGUUGUUGCAUAUAUCAGAAUUCAGAAGCUUUUACAGUGGAUGAUGCUAAGGAUUCAAUCCUUAAGGCUUAAUCUGUUAUUACAUGAGACGGGCACUAAAAUAAUAUCCACAUAUAUGAGAACUCAAUAACGAAAAUGACCUCUCAAUUUAUUUCAGACAGGAAUACUCUAAAUCAUACGUUCAUGCUGGAGAUCCACACGCAAACUUGAAGAUGCCAGCCUACAUUAUUCAUGAAUUAUUAUAUAAUAAUAUGCAGACACGUGCAUUUGGAUAAACCAUAUAUUUUCACUGUAAAUGAUGUUUACUUGAUGCUAACCCAAAUGAACUCAUUCCACUUCUAAACAUAUGAAAAUCACCACCAUAUAUUCACAUUCAAACUAAUAUCUUCUCAAGUCAAGUGGCCUCAUAUAGAUUUUUUUUCUUUUUUAGAAAAAAUAGUCUUCAUCUCCACCUGCAAGUAUACAAAUUGAGUUAAACCUCAUUUAAUAUAUAAAUCUAAACGCACAUAAUAUUAAUUGGGGUGUGGACAAGUGUAUUCUCAUCUGCAGGUAGUCAAAACCGUGUUCUUUCAGUGUUUUGCUGGUGAAAAUGAAACUAAUGGAGCUCAAAGCAUAUAUUCUGUGGGGAAAGAUACAGCAGAUAAAUAUUUACCAUCCUACAUAUUAUUCUCUAUAUCAAGUUUCAGUCUUUUUUUCCCCAAGCUUUCUAUUGUGUUCUCUUCUGUUCCAAGUAAAGAAUCCCAAUCAGCCCUUACACAUGCCUUUUUAUUUUUGUAAUCUUUUGAGCUGGAAAACCCAGUUUCGGAUGCUUUUUUCUGCUCUUUCUAACAUGCUUUUAUAGAAUUGACAGAUGUAUAAACUUCAAAGAUCAAAUUAAAGGGUAAAUAUGGCAAUAUCUUUUAUCCUACAGCCUAUAGGAGGUUUCCUUUAAAAGCUCUGGAUGCUUUUGCCAUAGCCAAUUUCAAUCACCAAAAUGUCAACUUCAUAAUACCUGAAAGUCUGAACAGGGUUGUAUUGGCUCUCUGAAUGAGAAAACUUUGGAAUAUUUAAUUACCGACCCAAUAAAGAAAGCAACUUUAGGAAUCAAUUUGUGCCAAGCAAAAGCGAAAGCUUACUCAUCAAGCUUAUUUAUCUAUUCAUUCUGAGAGAUGAACGAAUGUAUAUAAACAACUGCAAGUAUAUCCUAGUUUAGGCAUCCUUGCGUACGUGAAUACGACAGUUGCAGCAAGAGAGAGACACGACUAGGCUCAAGAUUCCUCCGCUUUUCCUCAAAAAUGCCUAACUCAGAGAAGCAAGAAACCAAUCCCCCUGCAGGGUACCCAACUGAGACUCCCACCACUGGGAAGAAGCGCUUCCAUCAUUCAAAGAAGAAAGGAGACAGAGGCUUUAUUGAAGGAUGGUAAGUCAGGCCAGCUAAUUUUUGUAGUAUGGACAACUGUGCAUAUUUGAGCCUAAUUAGGGCUCUAAAACUACUCUCUCUCUCUCAUAAAAAUAGCUUUUACUCUUUCUCCCAAAGAUUAUGUUUAUGAAACAGAGGAUCUCAUAAAAGUAGCUUUACUCUUUCUCCCAAAGAUUACGUUUAUGGAACAGAGGAUGUCAUUGGAUAUUUCAGAGAAAACUAUUCUCUUCAGAAAAGCUUCUCUUUCCUUUUCACCUCUAAUGCUUAUCUUUUUUGUUGUUUCCCUUGCUGAAGCAGCCUCUUCGCUCUGUGCUGCUGUUGGCUGUGUGAAGCUUGCUUCUGAAUUUUGACCAGUGGUUCAAAUAAGCAUAGCUUCUGCUAUGGAUUUGUAUUGAUUGAUCUGCUUUUCUAUAAUUGAUCAGAUUAUUGUAAUAAAAUGUAAUUGAUAGUACACGUGUAGCAAACAAUCUAUCUAUUAAUAUAUUUGUACCUUUUUAUUUCCUCAUUCAAUUUUCAUUUCUUUCUGAGUUUCAACAUUUGGGUUUUCUAUGUGAUGAGAAAUGACCACAGUUCUAAAAAUAGAGUUAGAAGCAUUACUAAUCACAAAGGCCUAAUCCUUCCAGCCUUGUAACUGCUAAAAAGACCUAUUUCUGGGUCUGGCCCAGUUCAAUAUAUUAGGCAGAGAACCAAAAUCUAAGACUGGAUUCAUCUUUAACACUAGCUCCUGAUCAACACCCACAUUGAGGCUUUGAGGUCAUCAUGGUUCCUUGCCCACAAGCUAGAGUUCCUCGUUUCUUGCUCUUAAUUUAGAUUCAUCCUUCAUGUUUGUAUGUAAACGUCUUUUCAAGUAAUUAUGCACUUAUAUUUGCCCCAAAAAAAGUUGCUGCAACUAAAGGUUUAAAUCAUUUAAGCCUUCGCAAAAGCAAUGGUUAUACUUAUUUUUCAGAGAGUGAAGAUUGGGACGGGAUACCCAGGAAACAGCAAACCGUAAGCUUUUGUCCCACCUCAGACAAUGUAAAACAAAUCCAAUUGGUUAUUUUGAUCUUAAAAAUCAUGUGAUGUUGAAAAUUUAAUGCUCCACCAUAAAUGAUAAAAUAGCCAUGAAGUCAAUAGACAUUCUAAAUCAUGAAAUCCAGCUCAUUAAAAAACGCACACACCUAUUCAUAAAUUUAUUCAAGGCUAGGAUAGAAUGAUUCUGCAGUCCUGAUCAAACCAAUUCAAGAGACACAUACACGUGCACAAUUUAGUUAAGACAAGGAUAAAAUAAUCCUGUGGUGCUAAUCUUUCUAUUAUGAUCCAUGGAACUCACAGAAAACAGAUUACCUACCAGAUUCAAUAAUCUUUCCCAAGUGCUUCCAAUAUACAUUUAUGUUCUAAUGCACCAUUAAACACAAGUGACAAGACUGAGACUUAAUCACUGAGAAAAUUUUUAUUGGAUAUGGUACAGUUAACAAUAUACCAUCUUAUUAUAUGGGUGGUUCUGUCAAAUUAAUGUACAGUCAAGAACAUAGACUGAAGCAUUUCCAGCAGACUGGCAAAAGCAUGAUAAAAUAUCAAGCAUUCACAAAUAGCAUGAAAGAACAAAAUGACUAACCAAUCAAAAAAGGAUGCUUCUUAAAUGGCUUCUGAU
rnacentral:misc_RNA from 1 species